rnacentral:tRNA from 1 species
AGGGGUAUAGCACAGUGUUAGAGCGCAUGCUUAGCACGCAUGAGGUCCUGGGUUCAAUCCCCAGUACCUCCA